AAAUUCUGUUGUUUGUUUUUUUUUUAAAGGGAACAAAACAAAAAGAUUGCAGGCUUUGAUAUAACUCAACAACCACUAAGGACUGGACACUUGCCCAGAACACCAGAAAAAUCUCUGUUUUUACAGAUCAUGCAUUCAACCAAUCAAUAAAUAUCAGGUAUGUACUGUGCGCUGGAUACACAGGCAAACCAUUGACCCUCCUCUCUAGAAGUGUGUUCAUUGCAAAAUUAAUUUCUUUAUAUGUCCUCUGUUCCAGGAAGCAUUUGGGUGACUGGGAGCGCCCUCUGAGCCAAGUUUCUGGUUCUGAUACACUAGGCAAUGGUAUUUCGUGGAAGGUCACUGGAGGCAGUGUUGUGGGGAUGGCAGACAUGGAGAGAAAGACACAGGAAGAGAGGGAACACAGCAGGGAGAGUGGGAGAGGGAGAAGCAGGCUUCCCGCAGAGCAGGGAGCCCAAUGCAGGGCUUGAUCCCAGGACCCUGGGAUUGUGACCUGAGCUGAAGGCAGAGGCUUAACCCACUGAGCCACCCAGGUAACCCCAUCAAUGUCAUUUCUUACGUGCUUGCCAGGGCAGGAUACAGUGG
rnacentral:lncRNA from 1 species